ACGAACGCUGGCGGCGUGCUUAACACAUGCAAGUCGAACGGAAAGGCCCUGCUUUUGUGGGGUGCUCGAGUGGCGAACGGGUUAGUAACACGUGAGUAACCUGCCCUUGACUUUGGGAUAACUUCAGGAAACUGGGGCUAAUACCGGAUAGGAGCUCCUGCUGCAUGGUGGGGGUUGGAAAGUUUCGGCGGUUGGGGAUGGACUCGCGGCUUAUCAGCUUGUUGGUGGGGUAGUGGCUUACCAAGGCUUUGACGGGUAGCCGGCCUGAGAGGGUGACCGGCCACAUUGGGACUGAGAUACGGCCCAGACUCCUACGGGAGGCAGCAGUGGGGAAUAUUGCACAAUGGGCGGAAGCCUGAUACAGCAACGCCGCGUGCGGGAUGACGGCCUUCGGGUUGUAAACCGCUUUCGCCUGUGACGAAGCGUGAGUGACGGUAAUGGGUAAAGAAGCACCGGCUAACUACGUG
rnacentral:rRNA from 1 species